UGCCCAGCAACUCCUAUCCCUACUUCCUCGCGGUAGGGAAUAUCAGGUAACCAACCCCGGUGGGAACUUUGGUCGUAUGCUGACAGGGAUGG
rnacentral:ribozyme from 1 species